GCGGGCACCAUUGUAAGGCGGGAACCACACCCGAUCCCAUUUCGACCUCGAUAUGUGACGUCUUACUUACACCAUAUGUACUGAGGUUUAUCGGGAGACGUGGACAAAGCCCGCCU
rnacentral:rRNA from 1 species